rnacentral:rRNA from 1 species
GCAAGUCGAGCGGUAAAGGGGGUCCACCGUGUCCUUGACACUCCGGGCUGAAUGCGGGAGGUUAGAUUUCGAGGAUACAGUGGAACCCUGCUGACGAGCGGCGGACGGCUGAGUAACGCGUGGGAACGGACCCCAAAGUGAGGGAUAACUACUCGAAAGAGUGGCUAAUACCGCAUGUGAUCUUCGGAUUAAAGCUUUUGCGCUUUGGGACUGGCCUGCGUACGAUUAGAUAGUUGGUGAGGUAAAGGCUCACCAAGUCGACGAUCGUUAGAUGGUUUGAGAGGAUGAUCAUCCAGACUGGGACUGAGACACGGCCCAGACUCCUACGGGAGGCAGCAGUAGGGAAUCUUUCACAAUGGGCGAAAGCCUGAUGGAGCAACGCCGCGUGCAGGAUGAAGGCCUUCGGGUUGUAAACUGCUUUUAUAUCCGAGAAAUAUGAUGGUAAGAUAUGAAUAAGGACCGGCUAACUACGU